rnacentral:rRNA from 1 species
UUCGCCCUUUACCGGUGCGGCCCGUGAGAGCGGAAGCCCGGAGAUGGGCAUUGAGAUAAGGGCCCAGGCCUAUGGGGCCGCAGCAGUUGCGAAACCUCCGCAAUGCGCGAAAGCGUGACGGGGUUACCCCAAGUGCCAUCCGCUGAGGACGGCUUUUCUUUGGUGUAAUGAGCCAAAGGAAUAAGGGGAGGGCAAGACUGGUGUCAGCCGCCGCGGUAAUACCAGCUCCCCGAGUGGUAGGGACAAUUAUUGGGCUUAAAGCGUCCGUAGCCGGCCUGGCAAGUCUUUCGUUAAAUCCAGCGACUUAAUCGUUGGGCUGCGGGAGAUACUGUCGGGCUAGGGGACGGGAGAGGCCGAUGGUAUUCUUGGGGUAGGGGUGAAAUCCUAUAAUCCCAGGAGGACCACCAGUGGCGAAGGCGAUCGGCUAGAACGCGCCCGACGG